ACCGGUGCCAAGUAGCACACGGUUUGCCGCUUUGCUUGGCUCGUCCAUGAACUAGCCAGUAUGGCAUGAGUGAUGCAACCUACCUCAUACUGGAGGAUAGCCCCUGGAAACGGGGAUUAAUACUCCAUAGUAUCACAAUUUCGCAUGUUAUUGUGAUUAAAGUUUUUCGGUAUGAGAUGGGCAUGCGUCCCAUUAGCUUGUUGGUGAGGUAACGGCUCACCAAGGCAACGAUGGGUAGGGGGCCUGAGAGGGUGGUCCCCCACACUGGUACUGAGACACGGACCAGACUCCUACGGGAGGCAGCAGUGAGGAAUAUUGGUCAAUGGACGAAAGUCUGAACCAGCCAUGCCGCGUGAAGGAUGACUGCCCUACGGGUUGUAAACUUCUUUUGUAUAGGAAGAAACCCCUCUACGUGUAGAGGGUUGACGGUACUAUUCGAAUAAGCACCGGCUAACUCCGUGCCAGCAGCCGCGGUAAUACGGAGGGUGCGAGCGUUAUCCGGAAUUAUUGGGUUUAAAGGGUGCGUAGGCGGAAAUUUAAGUCAGUGGUGAAAGCCUGCAGCUUAACUGUAGAAUUGCCAUUGAUACUGAAUUUCUUGAAUCUAAUUGAAGUAGGCGGAAUAUGACAUGUAGCGGUGAAAUGCUUAGAUAUGUCAUAGAACACCGAUAGCGAAGGCAGCUUACUAAGUUAGUAUUGACGCUAAUGCACGAAAGCGUGGGGAGCGAACAGGAUUAGAUACCCUGGUAGUCCACGCCGUAAACGAUGAUUACUCGCUAUUGGCGAUACACUGUCAGUGGCUAAGCGAAAGUGAUAAGUAAUCCACCUGGGGAGUACGAUCGCAAGGUUGAAACUCAAAGGAAUUGACGGGGGCCCGCACAAGCGGUGGAGCAUGUGGUUUAA
rnacentral:rRNA from 1 species